GAUGAUUUGGAUGACCAUCAUCUCAAUGUAUUGUGGCCUCCGCAUUUAUCAUCAUCCGACCAUUCAGAUUUAAAUGACGAUUUGGAUGACGGAAAUCAUCUUAGUACCUACAAUGGAUUACUUAGUGCCAAGGCGAGAAAAAAUCAUCGUCUGUUUUCCAGUGGAUGUAUAUUCAUAUGUCAAGUGAUAACUGUACCACCACAUUUACUGUCAAAUUAAAAAAACAUACAAUAUCCACUACAAAAAUAGAAGAGACAAAGUUGUAAUGCUUUUAAGAAUUCAAUAUCAAUAAAAGAAAAUUUUAUUUGAA